AACGAGCGCUGGCGGCAGGCUUAACACAUGCAAGUCGAACGCAUCCUUCGGGGUGAGUGGCAGACGGGUGAGUAACGCGUGGGAACGUUCCCUUCAGUUCGGGAUAACCCAGGGAAACUUGGGCUAAUACCGGAUACGUGCGAGAGCAGAAAGAUUUAUCGCUGAAGGAUCGGCCCGCGUCUGAUUAGCUAGUUGGUGGGGGAAUGGCCCACCAAGGCGACGAUCAGUAGCUGGUCUGAGAGGAUGAUCAGCCACAUUGGGACUGAGACACGGCCCAAACUCCUACGGGAGGCAGCAGUGGGGAAUAUUGGACAAUGGGUGCAAGCCUGAUCCAGCCAUGCCGCGUGAGUGAUGAAGGCCUUAGGGUUGUAAAGCUCUUUCGUCCGGGACGAUAAUGACGGUACCGGAAGAAGAAGCCCCGGCUAACUUCGUGCCAGCCGCCGCGGUAA
rnacentral:rRNA from 1 species